rnacentral:Y_RNA from 1 species
GGCUGGUUGGAAUGCAGUGGUGUUUACAACUAAUUGAUCACAACCAGUUACAGAUUUCUUUGUUCCUUGUUAACUUUCACUGCUUCACUCAAGUAGCCUUUA